rnacentral:rRNA from 1 species
AUUGAACGCUGGCGGCAGGCCUAACACAUGCAAGUCGAGCGAGCGGCGGGCGGGUGAUAAAUGCCUGAGACUUGCGCUGUCGAGGGUGAUAACAUGUGGACACUACUGCUAAUACCCCAUACGAUUAGAUUCCCCAGGUGGGAUUGGCUAGUUGGUGGGGUAAUGGCUCACCAAGGCGACGAUCCCUAGCUGGUCUGAGAGGAUGAUCAGCCAAACUGGAACUGAGAUACGGUCCAGACUCCUACGGGAGGCAGCAGGGGGGAAUAUUGCACAAUGGGGGAAACCCUGAUGCAGCCAUGCCGCGUGUGUGAAGAAGGCCUUCGGGUUGUAAAGCACUUUCAGCGGGGAGGCGUUACUCGCAGAAGAAGCACCGGCUAACUCCGUGCCAGCAGCCGCGGUAAUUC